UUGCAAACACAUUAGUUUAUUGUUUAUGAAACUCGAAGGACACUAGCCAGGAAACUCCAUGGAAGCUGACAUUUCAACUCGUGUUUAAUUAUUGCAGAUCAGACAGGGCACCAGUUUAGACCUCGUUUUGAGUUACCGGUGAAAAGUUCACGCGUGUUACUAUCUCAAGUGUUUAAUAUCAUCCUCUAGGACCUCUACUCUCAAAUUCUCAAUGUCAAGUUGCCUUCAUUCUGACCCCGCUUGACCGGCUCUCUCUGCGUUCAAAUACACGUAAAAAAAUGGCGACGAAUUCACGUGGUCAUGGCGGCUGAUCACUACUUGAAAAAUACAACUGUCUAAACCUCCUCUUAUCUUCACUCGUAUGAUGGUUCAUAUAUAUAUGCGCAUUCCUCUGCUAACUAAUAGUGCACAAAUUCAGCAAAAACACUUCGAUUCUACUCCUUUAAUUAUUGCAGAUCAGACAGGGCACCAGUUUAGACAGGAAACUCCAUGGAAGCUAACAUUUCAACUCGUAUUUAAUUAUUGCAGAUCAGACAGGGCACCAGUUUAGACCUCGUUUUGAGUUACCGGUGAAAAGUUAACGCGUGCUACUAUCUCAAGUGUUUAAUAUCAUCCCCUAGGACCUCUACUAUCAAAUUCUCAAUGUCAAGUUGCCUUCAUUCUGACCCCGCUUCACCGGCUCUCUCUGCGUUCAAAUACACGUAAAAAAAUGGCGACGAAUUCACGUGGUCAUGGCGGCUGAUCACUACUUGAAAAAUACAAGUGUCUAAAC
rnacentral:lncRNA from 1 species